UCCCUGGUUGUCCAGUGGUUACAACUCCACACUUCCAUUGCAGUGGCCACAGGUUCAAUCCCUGAUCAGGGAA
rnacentral:tRNA from 1 species